rnacentral:lncRNA from 1 species
UGCUCAAACCCUUAGAAAAGCUUUUCCCUUGUUCCAUAGAUUCUUCAGGUCAUUUUGGAUAUUCUCUUCUAGAGUCCUUGUCAGAGACUGCAAGAAGCACAUUCUCUGGAGGAGCCCACACACAUUGAUUAUGGAGUCAUCAAAGUCCAAUGGUGUGACAAAAGUCAAGACAACUGGUGAUGACUCGGGAUGCAGUGGAUGUCUUUGGCAUUUCUGAUGUCUGACCAAGCUCUAGAUCUUUCACAUCCCCUGCUGCAGUUGCCUUCAUGACUGUUAGAACAAAUUAUUCUCAUAUACUUCUGCUGGGGGAAGACUUCACAUGCCUGGGUAGACACCCCUCUUACACAUUUGAGAGUAAGGUUUGAAACCUCUCCUUACUCUCAAUCAGGUUGUAGAUAAGUUACAAUUUGACUUGGUAAAGGAAUUUUCUACAAUCACAGAACCUUCAAAUAAUAGAGGUUUA